CCACAUGCAGUCGAACGGUGAAAGCGGAGCUUGCUCCUGCUGGAUCAGUGGCGAACGGGUGAGUAACACGUGAGCAAUCUGCCCCUGACUCUGGGAUAAGCGCUGGAAACGGCGUCUAAUACCGGAUACGAGCUGCGAAGGCAUCUUCAGCAGCUGGAAAGAAUUUCGGUCAGGGAUGAGCUCGCGGCCUAUCAGCUAGUUGGUGAGGUAACGGCUCACCAAGGCGUCGACGGGUAGCCGGCCUGAGAGGGUGACCGGCCACACUGGGACUGAGACACGGCCCAGACUCCUACGGGAGGCAGCAGUGGGGAAUAUUGCACAAUGGGCGAAAGCCUGAUGCAGCAACGCCGCGUGAGGGACGACGGCCUUCGGGUUGUAAACCUCUUUUAGCAGGGAAGAAGCGAAAGUGACGGUACCUGCAGAAAAAGCGCCGGCUAACUACGUGCCAGCAGCCGCGGUAAUACGUAGGGCGCAAGCGUUAUCCGGAAUUAUUGGGCGUAAAGAGCUCGUAGGCGGUUUGUCGCGUCUGCUGUGAAAACCCGAGGCUCAACCUCGGGCCUGCAGUGGGUACGGGCAGACUAGAGUGCGGUAGGGGAGAUUGGAAUUCCUGGUGUAGCGGUGGAAUGCGCAGAUAUCAGGAGGAACACCGAUGGCGAAAGGCAGAUCUCUGGGCCGUAACUGACGCUGAGGAGCGAAAGGGUGGGGGAGCAAACAGGCUUAGAUACCCUGGUAGUCCACCCCGUAAACGUUGGGAACUAGUUGUGGGGACCAUUCCACGGUUUCCGUGACGCAGCUAACGCAUUAAGUUCCCCGCCUGGGGAGUACGGCCGCAAGGCUAAAACUCAAAGGAAUUGACGGGGACCCGCACAAGCGGCGGAGCAUGCGGAUUAAUUCGAUGCAACGCGAGAACCUUACCAAGGCUUGACAUAUACGAGAACGGGCCAGAAAUGGUCAACUCU
rnacentral:rRNA from 1 species